UUAAAAAUGAUGAGGAAAAAAUAUAUUAUUAAUUUUUCCCCCAUUUUUUCCUACUAGUUCUUCAUCCGGGCUUCCAAAGAAUAAGCAUCAGAAACUUUCACAGAGGAAACCACCAGUAUGUGUAGAGGAUGUACUGGAUGCUAUUCAGGUUUAUCCUCAUGUAUUGCCCCUCAGGUCAUUAUAUACUCUAGCUAUUGAAAAGAUAUUAGCUCGACUGCCAUUUGGAAACAAUUCAGCAUCUGGAAGAAAUGAGAAAACCCCUUAAUCACAUCAUAAAUUAUACAGUACAAAGUCCAAGAUAUGAAAUUGUUUAGGAACUUCAGCAAUUCCAUAAAUUUCUGGAUUUUAGAUCAUCAGUUUAAGUAUAGUGAGAUGACAUCUAAAAAUUGUAUUAAAAAUCUGAAACAGUAGUUUAUAAAAUAAUGAAGCAUUUAUAAUAUUACAAAAAUCAAAAUUUUUAAAAGGUGGUCUUAAUUUUGUUAUUAAUAAUUUCUUUUAAUGUAAGUAAUAAAAAAAGUUUUUUUAUGUUAAUAUUUUCUCUUUAAUUUUAUAGAUAAACAUAAUUUUGCAUUCACUUACAAAGUUCUACUGCUAAAAUCCUGUAAUUGGCAUGUAAAGAAUUCCCACUUAACUAUCAGGUGAAAUCUAUUCAUUCUCAAAAACAUCUUUGUUGCUUUCUUCACUGUCAGUAGCUAUAUUUUUUUGGAUUUAAAACCAUCCUACAGAUUUCACCACCCAUUAGUUAACUCUUGAUAAAGAAACCUUCAUCGCUUUGGCAAACUUCUGUUAUAUCAUUUUUAUUUAUUAUCACUUCUCCACAUUUGUUUACAAAUGCCAUUAACUGGAAAAGAAUUCAAAAUUUAUGCCAAAAUAAGGCUGUUAUAUUGCCUAAUUUUGAAAUCUCAAUUUCAUGAACUCAAAUUGCAGCAAUACUGUUUUCUCUUUCUGUUCCAUUAUGCAUACUUUGCAAAUCCUGCUACUGGGCAAGGAUCAGAAAAUCUUUUAGGAAAAAAAUAAAAAAUUUGGACUGUCAUUUUAAUAACAUAACUGCAGUUAUAAUAACCUGCCCAAAAUAAUAUACUGUAUCAAAUUAAAGAAUGUUGGAAGAGUACAGUUUGCUAUGUUCAUUGAACUUAAGAUUUUCGGAAGCUAAUUCUCUCUUUCUUCUUCUCUCCAUGGGUAUUUAGAAAAAAGUAUGAGCUACAUCCUAUGUCAAAUAUGUCUUUCACUUACUGUUUAGGUUCAGAUAGAAAAAUACGAAUGCCUUAAUAUUCAGUGUGUGGGGCGACUAACAUUAAUUAGUGUACAAGCAGCAAGUAUGAUCCCUAGCCAACAGGAGUUUGAAAGUGGGAUAGAAGACUUAUUUCUAUUAUUUUAAAUUCUUGAAUUUUGUAUUAAAAAAAAAAAAACAAAACCAGUAGUCCUGAGAUCCAGAUUUCAGACUUUGUACUGUAAGUAACUUAAUAAAAUAUAUUUUCAUUUGAAAUAAAAAUUUUGGUGAUGUGUGUGGGAAAAAGUUUUAUAAAUCUGUUGCUUUUACUUUUGUUCCUUUUAUUAAAAAAUAGCUGCUUUCUCCCAAAAAGUGUCAUAAAUUCUAUCUUUAAGAAUAUAAUUUAAUAUUUUUUUAUAUGCAAAAUGUGUAGUUAUUACAGAAGAUUUAUAUUGAAUUCCUUAAAUGACUGUUUUCUGGAAUUUGCUAUGUGUAUGCAAUUUUUAUUGUUGGAGCUCAUCUUACAAAGUAAGACGUAAUUAUAAUUCUGUGGUUUGAAAGUGUAUAAUUUUCUGUAUGUGUAAAAUAUUGAGCUUUCUUUGUAUAGCAUCGUAUUAUAAAAUAUUUGUUUUUCUGUC